CAUGCAAGUCGAACGCGAAAGUUCCCUUCGGGGAGCGAGUAGAGUGGCGCACGGGUGAGUAACACGUAGGUAAUUUGCCUUUGGGUGGGGAAUACCAACCGGAAACGGUUGUUAAUACCGCAUAAUGCAGCGGCAUCACAUGAUGACAGUUGUUAAAGCGGGGGAUUGGAGCAAUCCGACCUCGCGCCUGAAGAGAAGCCUGCGGCAGAUUAGGUAGUUGGUGAGGUAAUGGCUCACCAAGCCUGCGAUCUGUAACCGGCCUGAGAGGGCGGUCGGUCACACUGACACUGACAUACGGGUCAGACUCCUACGGGAGGCAGCAGUCGGGAAUUUUGGGCAAUGGGCGAAAGCCUGACCCAGCAACGCCGCGUGAAGGAUGAAAUUUUUCGGAAUGUAAACUUCGCAAGAAUGGGAAGAAUAAGUAGGGGACAAUACCCCCUAUGAUGACGGUACCAUUUGUAAGCUCCGGCUAACUUCGUGCCAGCAGCCGCGGUA
rnacentral:rRNA from 1 species